rnacentral:rRNA from 1 species
UACGGAGGAUGCAAGCGUUAUCCGGAUUUAUUGGGUUUAAAGGGUGUGUAGGCGGGAAAUUAAGUCAGUGAUGAAAUCCUACAGCUUAACUGUAGAACUGUUAUUGAUACUGGUUUUCUUGAAUACAGUUGAGGCAGGCGGAAUGUGUAAUGUAGCGGUGAAAUGCUUAGAUAUUACACAGAACACCGAUUGCGAAGGCAGCUUGCUAAACUGUCAUUGACGCUGAGGCACGAAAGCGUGGGGAUCAAACAGGAUUAGAUACCCUGGUAGUCCACGCUGUAAACUAUGAUCACUCGCUGUUGGCGACACACAGUCAGCGGCCGAGCGAAAGCAUUAAGUGAUCCACCUGGGGAGUACGAUCGCAAGAUUGAAACUCAAAGGAAUUGACGGGGGCCCGCACAAGCGGAGGAACAUGUGGUUUAAUUCGAUGAUACGCGAGGAACCUUACCUGGGCUUGAAUGCAGGUUGACAGACUGGGAAACUGGUUCUUCUUCGGACAACUUGCAAGGUGCUGCAUGGUU